rnacentral:rRNA from 1 species
UACGAAGGGGGCUAGCGUUGCUCGGAAUUACUGGGCGUAAAGGGCGCGUAGGCGGAUAUCUAAGUUGGGGGUGAAAUCCCGGGGCUCAACCUCGGAAUUGCCUUCAAAACUGGAUAUCUUGAGUUCGGGAGAGGUGAGUGGAACUCCGAGUGUAGAGGUGAAAUUCGUAGAUAUUCGGAAGAACACCAGUGGCGAAGGCGACUCACUGGCCCGAUACUGACGCUGAGGCACGAAGGCCAGGGGAGCAAACGGG